AGGGAGGAUAGGAAUGAGAGAAUGAUGCCACUGGUCUAUCCAGAAUCUUUGAGCUAAGAUUUUAUCCCCAUGAGAGCAGGCCUCGGUCUUCCCCACCUCUGUGUCCAUCAAGUUACCCAGGAUAUCUGCCUCAUAGUAGGUCUUGCUCAAUCCAGAUGUAUCGCUGAAACCAGGCAAAUUCUCCUGCAUUUCUGUCACUCACCCUUGGCUGCUUCCGGACACCUUACCUUCUCCUGUUCUCAAACGUGUGGGAGAUUCUGGAGGAUGAAAGAACACUACCUGCCCAACUGGAAGCUAAUUAGCUGAGAAGUCUUAGAGGAGACGGCUGGAAACAUCCUCCUUGAGGGUAGCGGCCACCCUGUAUACAUCUCUUCAGAGCCCAGCGCUGCCUGUGCACAGUUUAUUUUAGUCUGAAAGAUCUGGAAAUAUAGAAAACAUCUCCAUCUUUCUGCUGUUGAGUUCCCAGUGCCCCUGCAAAAUGCCAGCCUGUGACUGUCAAUAUCUGUGACUCUAUCCCUCGACCCAUAAUUCCCAGCCUCCAUCCUAGCUUCUGGGAUAGAGUUCCAUGGAUAAUUCAGCAAUUGCAGGAAAAUUUGGGCCCCCAACAGUGAACAACAGAACUCAAAAGAUGCAAAUACGAGGAUAAUGGACCACUGGAGGCUGAUCCAACACAAAAUACACAUUACCCUGUGCUACGUUCAGGAAUAGGAGGGUUCCUGUCUAGUUGCAGAAAAAGGAUAAGAGGUCAUAUCAAAACAGCACAGUCAUCUGAAAAUGGAACUUAUGUCUACAAAAGUUACAGGAAACCACAUCAAGAAGACUUUGUUUUGGUGCCCCAAGAGGAUUAACCUACUAAAUCCUACUAGCAAGUUUCUGGAGAACUCUAUAAAUUGUAGCAAAUCAAUAACCUCUGAAGUGUAACCUCUACUUGGACUGCAGCCAUUGAGAAGAUGUUCUCUAUACCUUCAAGGACAGAG
ensembl:lncRNA novel transcript